rnacentral:rRNA from 1 species
UACGUAGGGUGCAAGCGUUAAUCGGAAUUACUGGGCGUAAAGCGUGCGCAGGCGGUUUUGUAAGUCUGACGUGAAAUCCCCGGGCUUAACCUGGGAACUGCAUUGGUGACUGGCGGGCUAGAGUAUGGCAGAGGGGGGUAGAAUUCCACGUGUAGCAGUGAAAUGCGUAGAGAUGUGGAGGAAUACCGAUGGCGAAGGCAGCCCCCUGGGCCAAUACUGACGCUCAUGCACGAAAGCGUGGGGAGCAAACAGG